UCGGGAAUUUUGGGCAAUGGGCGAAAGCCUGACCCAGCAACGCCGCGUGAAGGAUGAAGUAUUUCGGUAUGUAAACUUCGAAAGAAUAGGAAGAAUAAAUGACGGUACUAUUUAUAAGGUCCGGCUAACUACGUGCCAGCAGCCGCGGUAAUACGUAGGGACCAAGCGUUGUUCGGAUUUACUGGGCGUAAAGGGCGCGUAGGCGGCAAUUCAAGUCAUCUGUGAAAUCUCCGGGCUUAACUCGGAACGGUCAGAUGAUACUGCUUUGCUAGAGUGCAGAAGGGGCAAUCGGAAUUCUUGGUGUAGCGGUGAAAUGCGUAGAUAUCAAGAGGAACACCUGAGGCGAAGGCGGGUUGCUGGGCUGAUACUGACGCUGAGGCGCGAAAGCUAGGGUAGCAAACGGGAUUAGAUACCCGAGUAGUCCCUGAGCGGGCUGGCAAGGCGCAU
rnacentral:rRNA from 1 species